rnacentral:rRNA from 1 species
UACGUAGGGUGCAAGCGUUAAUCGGAAUUACUGGGCGUAAAGCGUGCGCAGGCGGUUUUGUAAGUCUGAUGUGAAAUCCCCGGGCUCAACCUGGGAAUGGCAUUUGUGACUGGAAGGCUAGAGUGUGUCAGAGGGGGGUAGAAUUCCACGUGUAGCAGUGAAAUGCGUAGAGAUGUGGAGGAAUACCGAUGGCGAAGGCAGCCCCCUGGGAUAACACUGACGCUCAUGCACGAAAGCGUGGGGAGCAAACAGG